ACUUCUUUUUAUUUUUGUAUUUUUUGUGUUCUCCCAUGGGUUCUUCUUUUUGAAUUUUUUCUUGUUGUUCAUGUGUGUUUGUAUAUUUUCUUUUUGUAGGUAUAUCCCCUUCAACAGUGCAGUGUCCAAUUCCCGCUGUUGGUUCUUCGUUGAUGCAUUCAGGUCAUUUGUGCGUUUAAUUAUUUCUAGUUCAUAGUUUACAUUUUCUUUUUCUUUUGUAGUUGACCCUCUUUGUGAUUUUUGUGUAGCUGGUCCUGAUAAGAAGUGUGAGCCCAAGGUUGUUAAUGAUUUUCAUAAACCAAGUUUGGUUGAAUUCAGUCGCUCUCUUGGUGUUCAAUCACAUCCUGAAGAUUCCAUUCAAUAGCACAAAGUUAAAGAGGGUGACUCUUCUGUUGGAGGACUGUCCCCUCUGGUUCCUACUCGUUUGACGCAGCGUUUCCGUAAUGUGGUUAGCAUCUACCUCUUUUGUUUGUCCUUUUAUACUAUUUUUGUGCAUUUGAAUUUCCAUGUUUUUUCAGUAGUGACUUUGUAUGUUUCAUUGUUUUAUAUUAGGUAGAUGAUGUUGAGUGCUCUCAGUAUGUUGUUAAAAAAUUCUUGAAUUCGCUCGAUCCUGCAAAUGAUGAGGUAAUUAUUUCUGAAUUUUAAAUCUUCUCUUCUCGUUUAGUAGAUGGUUUUUGUUUUUUACUUCUGAUUCUCGGUUUUGUUCCUUUUUUUUGUUACCAGGGUUGCAUCCAAAUGGUGAACUUGUCUCCUUCUGAAGUUUCAAAGUCAAAUGUUUCCUCAAAACACCUUAAUUACCAGGUAUGGUGAUUUUUCUUUAUGAUUUUUGUGUAUUGAUUAUUUUGUUUUUAGUAGUUAUUGUAUAAUGCCCCUGUUAAUCUAAUGCUUUUUGUUGCUUGUUUUGUGUAUGUAUGUUUAGAAGGCAGUAGACGAUGUUCAAAUUGUGGGGACUUCCAGUUUUGCUGCUAGAUGCACAGAUCUUAAAAUAUCUAAUGAUGCUACUUACAACAAGCUUAACAACUUCAACUUGACAGAACCUCAAUCAACUAGUCGUUACCCUAAGAAUCAAAAAGUAAUGACGAUUUCUCUUCCUUUUCUCCCUUUAUGUUUAUCUUUUUUUAUAAUUUAGUCAUCAUGUUUUCAUCAAUUUUUAUUUUCCUUUCUGCUUCGUUGUAUGUUUUCAGGCUACUGCUAGUCCAAAAGUACAGAUCUUGUCUUCUGGGAAUGCCUCUAAAGACCUCUCUCCUGCUCAAGUUCCUAAAGCUGAUGGCCCAUCCUUCGUUUUUCCUAGCGGUUCAUCUGGUGGUCAUCAACCUCGCUGGAUGGUUUUACCAGGCAGAUUCAACUCCGAUCCUUAUGUUGCUCAGGGUAACAAGUUUCCUGUUACUGCUAAAGAAAGACGUCACCACCUAGCAAUGGUGCAAAUUGGAAAUCAUCAAAGUUGGUGCAAGUACGUUUUUCUGACCUUGUGUAUUUUCAUUUUUUUCGAAAUGCUUUAUCCAAUGCUCAUGUUUUAGCUUCUUUUUUAGACUGGUAGGGUUUGUAAUUGUCAUUUUAGUAGGUUCUAAGUUUUACUACAUUUUCCAGUGUGUUUGUCUUGUUACUUUGACUUAUUUUUUAUCCUCGGGUUGAAUAUAUUUUUUGAUUGGGUUUUAUUAUUUUUUUUCGUAGGUAUGAAGCAAUUCGAUAUGACCGAGCCUACUGUAGCUACCGUAAUCUUGCAACUUUGAAGUCAAGAGAACAUGUGGAUAAUUUUUUGAUUUUGUGCGUUCGUCGUUAUCUGUUCAAGCAAGCUCACCCGUCAGUAUCAAGGAAACAUUUCUUCUUCUCUUACAUUGGGGUAUGUUGUAUUUUGUCGUUCUUUUCUUUUUUUGUGGCAUUUUUUAUAUAAGAAUUUUAAGUCUGGGUUUAUUUUCCUUUUUGAUUUUCUGAUAUGUAGUUCUAGUUUCUUUUCUUUUUUCAGGAAACCAUCCUGAGAGGCACUGAUGUUGAUAUUGUAGGCAAUGCUUUCACUGGUGCUAACAGUGCUUUCCCAAUGUGGAGAAGUAAUCAGGUUAGUUGUUUUAUGCUUCAUUUUUUAGUACGGGUGUCUCCUUAUUCUAUUUUGUCCUUUUAGUUAUUUUUUAUUUCACUUUUGACGUCUAAUUUGCUCUGGAUUUGGUCUGCAGUUAUUCUUUCCUAUUGGACGGGAGAAACACUGGUUUACCUUUGUUAUUUGCUUAAAGGAGAGGGCUUUUGCAUUUCUUGAUUCUCUAUACGGGGCAAAGGAUCAUUUUCAUCUGGAAAUUCAUGAUAAAUUGGUAAUGAAAACUAUUUUUCCUUUAGUUAUUCAUCCCUUUUUUUUACUUCCUGAUGUGUUGUUGCGCUGAUGUUUAUUUCAUCUUUUCGAUACAGAUCGAAAAUUUCAUAACAAUCUGGGAUCAGUAUGUGACUCCUAUCCUGCACAAACGUAUUGACUUUGUGAAUUUUGACAUUGUGUACCCUACUGUUCCACAGCAAAACAAUUGGUAUUUAUAUCUCCUUUUCCAUUUUGGGUGUGGCUUUUGUCCUAGUUUCUUCAUGGGUUUCUUAUUGUUUUGCUUUAUUUUUCCUUUUCAGGGAUAAUUGUGGUGUUUUCACUAUCAUGUAUCUGAAGCACUGGACUCCUAGGACCCCAAUUGGCAAUAUGUUUGGCGCGGCCGAUGUUGACAAUAUAAGAAUCAUAUUGGCAAAUGAGUUGUAUUUCAGUGGAUUCAACAGUGUCGACAAGACUUUUGUUACCCACUUCUUUGAUGAUGACAAGGCUUAGGUUUUCCUGGAAGAUGCAUUUGCGACAUCGAAGGCUUUGCUUAAAACUAAGCUUUGAAGAGAAAUUAUAGACAGUAGUACUGCUGGCAAUGUUUUUUUGUCGAUAAUGUAAUUAAAUGCGAUAAAUUUGUACGGUUUGGUCUAGAUGUCAUGUCUGUGUGUUGGAUAGCUGUUUUGAUUUUUAAUGUCGUGAAUCAGUGAACUCUUUUUACAGAUAAGUAUGAGAAGGAUGGUUUCAUUGUGUCAUUUGUUUUAUCUGAUGCUUUUUGUUCCUUUUGUGGUUGCUUGAUUUUCUUUUUAUUUUACUGUAUUAUUAAGCAUGGUUGCUU